GAGGAAGCCCCGGCUCAACCCGGCAGGGUCAUUGGAAACUGGGGAACUUGAGUGCAGAAGAGGAGAGUGGAAUUCCACGUGUAGCGGUGAAAUGCGUAGAGAUGUGGAGGAACACCAGUGGCGAAGGCGACUCUCUGGUCUGUAACUGACGCUGAGGCGCGAAAGCGUGGGGAGCGAACAGGAUUAGAUACCCUGGUAGUCCACGCCGUAAACGAUGAGUGCUAAGUGUUAGAGGGUUUCCGCCCUUUAGUGCUGCAGCAAACGCAUUAAGCACUCCGCCUGGGGAGUACGGUCGCAAGACUGAAACUCAAAGGAAUUGACGGGGGCCCGCACAAGCGGUGGAGCAUGUGGUUUAUUCGAGCAACACGAAGAACCUUACCAGGUCUUGACAUCCUCUGGAACCCUAAGAUAGGGCUUCCCCUUCGGGGGCAGAGUGACAGGUGGUGCAUGGUUGUCGUCAGCUCGUGUCGUGAGAUGUUGGGUUAAGUCCCGCAACGAGCGCAACCCUUGAUCUUAGUUGCCAGCAUUCAGUUGGGCACUCUAAGGUGACUGCCGGUGACAAACCGGAGGAAGGUGGGGAUGACGUCAAAUCAUCAUGCCCCUUAUGACCUGGGCUACACACGUGCUACA
rnacentral:rRNA from 1 species